AAAUUGCCAGGAAAUUAAAGUUCCAAGAUUUCGAAUCUUAUUUUUCAAUUUA
rnacentral:tRNA from 1 species